rnacentral:misc_RNA from 1 species
UUACAAAAUUCAACCCUCAAAAUUCCCUAAAACUAACCCUGUAGAUAGUCUGUGAUGAGCGGCCUUAAUACAUCAAAUUGGGGUUGGGUACAAGGUGCAGAAUAAGUUGGCAUAUCUAAUUUCCCAUAACCCUCUACCAAUCAACAAACUUUGUGUGCUUGGCACAAGAACACAACAUGAAUAAAAAGGAAAAAAAGGCAAAGUCCAUUUUCAUUGCCAGCACAGUAACUUGUUACCUAGAAUAACCUCAGGGGCUCG